rnacentral:rRNA from 1 species
GAUGAACGCUAGCUACAGGCUUAACACAUGCAAGUCGAGGGGCAUCAGGAAGAAAGCUUGCUUUCUUUGCUGGCGACCGGCGCACGGGUGAGUAACACGUAUCCAACCUGCCCUUUACUCGGGGAUAGCCUUUCGAAAGAAAGAUUAAUACCCGAUGGCAUAAUGAUUCCGCAUGGUUUCAUUAUUAAAGGAUUCCGGUAAAGGAUGGGGAUGCGUUCCAUUAGGUUGUUGGUGAGGUAACGGCUCACCAAGCCUUCGAUGGAUAGGGGUUCUGAGAGGAAGGUCCCCCACAUUGGAACUGAGACACGGUCCAAACUCCUACGGGAGGCAGCAGUGAGGAAUAUUGGUCAAUGGGCGCUAGCCUGAACCAGCCAAGUAGCGUGAAGGAUGAAGGCUCUAUGGGUCGUAAACUUCUUUUAUAUAAGAAUAAAGUGCAGUAUGUAUACUGUUUUGUAUGUAUUAUAUGAAUAAGGAUCGGCUAACUCCGUGCCAGCAGCCGCGGUAAUACGGAGGAUCCGAGCGUUAUCCGGAUUUAUUGGGUUUAAAGGGAGCGUAGGUGGACUGGUAAGUCAGUUGUGAAAGUUUGCGGCUCAACCGUAAAAUUGCAGUUGAUACUGUCAGUCUUGAGUACAGUAGAGGUGGGCGGAAUUCGUGGUGUAGCGGUGAAAUGCUUAGAUAUCACGAAGAACUCCGAUUGCGAAGGCAGCUCACUGGACUGCAACUGACACUGAUGCUCGAAAGUGUGGGUAUCAAACAGGAUUAGAUACCCUGGUAGUCCACACAGUAAACGAUGAAUACUCGCUGUUUGCGAUAUACAGUAAGCGGCCAAGCGAAAGCAUUAAGUAUUCCACCUGGGGAGUACGCCGGCAACGGUGAAACUCAAAGGAAUUGACGGGGGCCCGCACAAGCGGAGGAACAUGUGGUUUAAUUCGAUGAUACGCGAGGAACCUUACCCGGGCUUAAAUUGCAGUGGAAUGAUGUGGAAACAUGUCAGUGAGCAAUCACCGCUGUGAAGGUGCUGCAUGGUUGUCGUCAGCUCGUGCCGUGAGGUGUCGGCUUAAGUGCCAUAACGAGCGCGACCCUUAUCUUUAGUUACUAACAGGUUAUGCUGAGGACUCUAGAGAGACUGCCGUCGUAAGAUGUGAGGAAGGUGGGGAUGACGUCAAAUCAGCACGGCCCUUACGUCCGGGGCUACACACGUGUUACAAUGGGGGGUACAGAAGGCAGCUAGCGGGUGACCGUAUGCUAAUCCCAAAAGCCUCUCUCAGUUCGGAUCGAAGUCUGCAACCCGACUUCGUGAAGCUGGAUUCGCUAGUAAUCGCGCAUCAGCCACGGCGCGGUGAAUACGUUCCCGGGCCUUGUACACACCGCCCGUCAAGCCAUGGGAGCCGGGGGUACCUGAAGUACGUAACCGCAAGGAUCGUCCUAGGGUA